GGUCUCAGUAUUGUCACAACGGCUACCCC
rnacentral:sRNA from 1 species